UCUGGUUGAUCCUGCCAGUAGCAUAUGCUUUCCUCCUGGAGAUUAAGCCAUGCAAGUCUAAGUAUAAGUCAUAUACGGCGAAACUGCGAACGGCUCAUUAAAACAGUUAUAAUUUAUUUGAUAAUGUUCUUAUAUGGAUAACCAUUUUGGGAAACUAUGGCUAAUACAUGCACAAAGACCUUCGGGUUGUAUUUAUUAGUUUUGACCAAUCUCUGAUUGUGAUGAGUCAUAAUAACUGAUCGAAGCGCACUUGUGUGCGCUAAAUCUUUCAAGUAUCUGCCCUAUCAGAUUGUUGGUAGUGUAUUGGACUACCAAGUCGAUCACGGGUAACGGAGAAUUAGGGUUCGAUUCCGGAGAGGGAGCCUGAGAAACGGCUACCACAGCUACGGUAGGCAGCAGGUGCGUAAAUUACCCAAUCCAAAAUCUGGAAGGUAGUUACAGGAAAUUUGUUGCAUGGGGUUCUACCCCAGACACAAACGAACACAUGUAAGUAUUGUGUGUUUAAUUGGAGGGCAAGUCUGGUUGAUCCUGCCAGGAGGGCAAGUCUGGUUGAUCCUGCCAGGAGGGCAAGUCUGGUUGAUCCUGCCAGGAGGGCAAGUCUGGUUGAUCCUGCCAGGAGGGCAAGUCUGGUUGAUCCUGCCAGGAGGGCAAGUCUGGUUGAUCCUGCCAGGGAGGGCAAGUCUGGUUGAUCUGCCAGGAGGGCAAGUCUGGUUGAUCCUGCCAGGGAGGGCA
rnacentral:rRNA from 1 species